CUCUUAAAAUUGAUGUGUUAAAAUUUUACACAAAAUAUGUGUAAAAGGAUUCCAACACAUUUUUGUGUUAGAACUGACACAUAAUGUGUAAAUAUUAUGCUUAACUGCUUACACAAUGAAUGUGUAAAACACGUUUACCAGUAAACCAUAAAAUAAAAUGCAUAAUUAUUGUAAUUUAAUGAUGAUUUAUAUUUAAACGAAGUAACAAAAUAAAAUAUAUCUACUGUUAACCAAAAUAUAUCUACUGUUAACCACUACUACCACAUAACAGCCAGCGGGGAUUUUGAUAAGGACUUGCCGAGAUCAAGCUGCGUUGGGCGGGGUACAUUAGCGCUGAGUAUCCGGUGGUUGUAUGGAUCAGAACUCCGAAAGAGUCGGAGCAGAUUUUUUAAUAAACGCUAUCUUUAUUAACCGACCGCACAUUUGAUCUUUUUAUACAUACAUUCUCGCCUAAAUAGCUUUUGAAUAUACAUUUUGUGACACAAUAAGAGUAAUAUUUCAAACAUUAUGCAGGCGUUCUCUUCCAUUGGUGGCUGUUGUAAGUUCACACGAGUCAGCUGAUGACGUUUCACUUGGACAGACAACCACGCAUUGUUGUAUAUUUUUUUGCGUGUGUUAUUAUUAUUUUAUUAUUAUGAAAUUCGUGAACAUUAUUAUUGAGCCUUGGCAGUCUAUUUUGUAUUUGUUUUAUUGAGGAGAAAAAAACAGACAAGAACGCAUAUUGUGUUGCGCCUGCGCUGUGACGUUCUUUUUUCAACCGCAUUUCCAGUCAAGAGGUCAAGAAUGUUCCUGUCUGCAUCAGGUAAGAAAUUAAAUAAAAAAUUACCGUUAUAAUAUGAUAUCUAUUUUUCAUAUAGUGUAAGAAACUUUAGCAUUAAUUGUGCAGGAGACUGUUCAUUUAAACUUUAUUGUGGUAACGUUAAAUGCUCGCUCGUUUUGCAAAGUUACGUUUGGAGAUUCAUGAUAGCAGUCAUUGUUUAAUGAAAGGCACAUUGGACUACGGGUUAGUAAGUAUGUGUGACACUUACAGCACUUUAACGUAAAUCUUUAACACAGUGUCCUAAAUAGAUGUGACACGCGGUAACGGGUUUCUUUUCAGUUUAUGUCCUGACGUUAAUAGGACGGGAUAUUAUAAAUUAUGCCUUUCUAUUAUCGCGACGCCUCGUCGCGUUUGGUUAAGCACAUGGUGGAACAGUAUGCACGUCACUGUACCUAACGUACUGUACACCUGUGAGCGGCAUGACGAGACAAAAGACGGUAAAACUCAUUAUUAUUCGGUGAUGCUGUAACAUACUGGAUGCACCACCACAUUUUAUAAUAAUGUUUUUUAUUUUCGUGUCGCGCCCUCGCGUUCAACAUAACGUAGUGGUCUAAAUGUAAGGAGUCAAACUUUACGAACCUUUCACUGCUUGCAGUAAGGCUGAAGUGCUAGGUAGUGAAUAAAAUGGGUGUAGUCUUGUGCUACUAAAUGUAAAUCACAAUUCUUGUGUCAAUGUUUGUUUGUAAUCUUUUUCAGCUAGCUAUCCAUCUGAAAAAGAAAAGCUGGAACUCGCAAAGGAGAUUGUGUUGUUGGAUUAUGGUCUCAUUUGGUCAAAAUGAGGGACAUGUACUGAGCAUUUUUCUUUUUUCUUUUUUUUGAUGGGCCAUCACACAGUGGAUUUAUAAAAAUGAGACUACAGAACAUCAGACGGAAGCUUCAACACGUGAGAGGACAUCAUCAAUAAAGAAUGCCAUUGACCAAACCUUCAGUCAUCAAAGGAGAUGGAUACAGGUGGACAUCGAGUUUUCCAGACUUACCGAUAGGAAAGAAGACAUGUUUAUCAGGAAAUUGGAGGUGACAAUUAUUGAGAAACUCAGGGAAAUAGCAUCUUUAGAGAAGAAAUGUAAUGUAAGAUAUUUAAUGUAAGAUAUAAAAGUAAUCCUUUUUAAAUAAUUUUUUCUCAUAAUUUAUAUUUUGCAUGUGACCUGCAUGUUUACCACACCCAGAUCUAUUGCUGUGUGAAUUCUGCUGUCUCAGACUGGGACUUGGUGGCGGCUGGUACCAGCAUGACCUCUUUGCUUACUAAAUGAUGAAAAGGUGUCUAAAAUCAGCUCAGCCACAGUUGGUUUCCAGCGGUUCUUCAGGACAUAGAGGCCAUGUAAUUGUCGCAAUGAAUGAUUCUCUUGCCUUUCUACUUGAUGUUUACAAUCUGACCUGUGCGGUAGACAGACUUUUCAAAUUUACUAGCUAAGUAACCUUAAGUAUCCCUGCCAACUGUCUUCAGUUUUUUUUUUGGUAUGAAUAUGAUCUACCCUUGUCCCAGUCCUCUUGCAAACAAUCCAAGGCAAUGGAGUUUCAAAAUGGACCGCAAAAUUGCAGUCUGUUUUAACCAAUGCAUGCACUGUGUGGCGGUUUCCCGGACAGGGAUUAGACUAGUCCUAGACUAAAACAUUUUUAAGAGCUGUCCAAACUGAAAACAACUUGCACUGACAUAUCUUAAAAUACACCAGUGCCCUUUGUUUUGCCUCAAAAUGCACACAGGUAAUGUUUUUAGUAAGGCAUGUUUGUUAAAACCAGAUAUAUUUCCUAAUUAAUCUAAGGCCUAGUCCUGGAUUAAGAUUAUCCCUGUCCGGGAAACCACCCCUAAAUAUUUUGUGAUGGAAAUUUCUUUGAAUACACUUGUCAAGUUCAUUUGAAGUAUUUUUCUUAAUGUAAAAUAACGUGUUAAUGUUUCAGGACAAGGUAAGAAUUUUUGAUAACUUGCAUGUUGAAAACGAUUUCAGACAUUGUUUUAACAUGGUUAACACAUGUGCUUUUAAAUUCAAUGAAUUAUUUUAUAAAUGGUGUUUUUUAUGUAUAAAUGUAAUGUAUGUUUGAAGUGAUUAUACUUGCACUUAAAUUUAUUUAAAUUAGCAUACAUCUUGCAACAUACAGUACUAGCAUAUUUUCAUGCUAGCAUUAAUUGUCAAAUAUUUAUUAUUUUACAAAUAAAUCGUUUGUGAACAAUAUUUAAUAGUUGUCUGCUUGAUUUCAUUAUUUAAAGUUUACAAAUCGUAUGUUUUUUUUCUCUUUUAUAUUAAAACUAAACAAUUACUGGGUAACACACAGUUGUGUUAAAUUAAUAGAAAGUUACACAUUAAUGUGUUUACUGAAGCAACACAUUUUUUGUGUUGCAUUUUAUAACACAUAUUCUGUGUUAAAUUUAACUCAACAUGUGUUGUCCCUGCGCACACUCAGAACAUGUGUAAAAAAUAACACAUGUUGUGUUGUUUUUAACACAUUUGUUUUAAG